GGGCCCGCACAAGCGGUGGAGCAUGUGGUUUAAUUCGAUGAUACGCGAGGAACCUUACCAGGACUUAAAUGCAUAACGAUCGGUUGAGAAAUCAACUUUUCUUCGGACGGUAUGCAAGGUGCUGCAUGGUUGUCGUCAGCUCGUGCCGUGAGGUGUCAGGUUAAGUCCUAUAACGAGCGCAACCCCUAUUCUUAGUUGCCAGCGGUUCGGCCGGGGACUCUAAGAAAACUGCCAGCGCAAGCUGUGAGGAAGGUGGGGAUGACGUCAAAUCAUCACGGCCCUUACGUCCUGGGCCACACACGUGCUACAAUGGUAGGUACAAAGGGCAGCCACUUGGCGACAAGGAGCUAAUCUCUAAAAACCUAUCUCAGUUCGGAUUGGAGUCUGCAACUCGACUCUAUGAAGCUGGAAUCGCUAGUAAUCG
rnacentral:rRNA from 1 species